ACUGUUCAUGAGCAGUGUUUUGGCGCAACUGCCCUUGAGCUGCUGCCUAUUCACAGCUAUUUUUUUUUCAUUUUGUACAGUAAAUUUACAAUUUUACCCUUUGUAUACACGUGUUGGUCAUCGUGGAAAAGAAACCUGCUUCUACGGGAUCUCGACGCGUUGAUGUGGUUCUAGAAAUUCUGGUCCUUCUGGACUCUUCGUUCCAUUUCAAAGCCAAGCUCUCAGACGUCUGAUUCUUUCUAAAAAAACUCUAGCCCUCUCCUUCCUGAACAGACUUCCCGCAAACGUCUCUGUUGCAUCUUUUUCGAUUAACACUUUUGAAACAAGAAAUUAAAUCGAUCUCCAAAAGUUCAACCCCCAAACUGGAUCAGGAUCCAUCACCAUCUCGCGAUGCCUUGCUCAGAUUGGCUCUGCACUCAUCAUCGAUGACUCUGCCUCCACGGAGGACUCCGCAAAUCCCAUCACCGAUAAAGCGACUCUGACUCAUGCAUGUGUGUAUUCUGUAAAGAGGCUUCUCAAUAUGUUGUCUGGACUAAAGAAAACGAGGAUGGGGCUCUCGAAAAUUUCAAAUCCCAAAAAAGAGAAAGGUAUGAAUUGGCAGAAGAUUGUGCAGACGAUGAUGAAGCAAAGCAGGCAAUGUUGCUCUACAUGAUACAAGAGAUAGACACCUUCAUCCAUAUGGAGUGCUAAUAUACAGAUUUUCUGGGAUUUUUUGUUUUUGAAUGGAAGUUAGCAUGAGAUUUUCACAUGACAUGGUUGAUGAGUAGAGAAACUCAUCUGGAGAAUGAGCCCCCCAAGACAACAAUGUUACUUUAAAGGAGCUGAGAUCAGCAUGUCACAACAAUCUCACAAGCAGAUGCCCAUACAUCACAUUAAGCAAGUUUCAAUCUUUUUAGCUUUCAAUUAAUAUUUCGUGUUGAUAUUUGAUUGAAUUUUGUUUGGGUGUUUGGUUUCGGGAUUUCUCAAGUUGAAUUGCAACGUGGGUAAUGAGAAAAAAAAAAAAAAAAAAAAAAAAAAAGGAUUUGGUCACUGGUUACAAGGUGACUUCACCUCUCACCCUCUCUGAAACUCAAUUUUGAAGUUGUCAUCCA